rnacentral:rRNA from 1 species
UACAGAGGUCUCAAGCGUUGUCCGGAAUUAUUGGGCGUAAAGAGCUUGUAGGCGGUCUGUCGCGUCUGCUGUGAAAAUCCGGGGCUCAACCCCGGACUUGCAGUGGGUACGGGCAGACUAGAGUGUGGUAGGGGGAGACUGGAAUUCCUGGUGUAGCGGUGGAAUGCGCAGAUAUCAGGAGGAACACCGAUGGCGAAGGCAGGUCUCCUGGGCCACUACUGACGCUGAGAAGCGAAAGCAUGGGGGAGCGAACAGG